rnacentral:rRNA from 1 species
AUUGAACGCUGGCGGCACGCCUAACACAUGCAAGUCGAGCGGCAGCGAGAUUAGUAGCAAUACUAAUUGUCGGCGAGCGGCGGACGGGUGAGUAAUACGUAAGAAUCUGCCCUCAAGCGGGGGAUAACUAAUGGAAACGUUAGCUAAUACCGCAUAAUCCCGAGAGAGAAAAGGUGCCCGUAAGGGUGUCACUUGAGGAGGAGCUUGCGUCUGAUUAGCUAGUUGGUGGGGUAAGAGCCUACCAAGGGGAUGAUCAGUAACUGGUCUGAGAGGACGACCAGUCACACGGGGACUGAGACACGGCCCAGACUCCUACGGGAGGCAGCAGUGGGGAAUAUUGGACAAUGGGGGAAACCCUGAUCCAGCGAUGCCGCGUGAGUGAAGAAGGCCUUCGGGUCGUAAAGCUCUUUAGGUUGGGAAGAAGAAUGUAGGUUGAAUACACCUAUGUUUUGACGGUACCGACAGAAUAAGCACCGGCAAACUCUGUGCCAGCCGCCGCAGUAA